rnacentral:sRNA from 1 species
AUAUAGCCCUGAUGGAAAUGGAAAUCCCUUUUGGAUGCCUGUUGCAUUGUUUAAUAUGGGGUUUUAACCAAAAGGAUUGGAAUGGACAGCAGGACUGAAC